rnacentral:rRNA from 1 species
UAGAUACCCCACUAUGCGUAGCCUUAAAUCUUGACACUUCCUAGACUAAAGUGUCCGCCUGAGAACUACGAGCACAAACGCUUAAAACUCUAAGGACUUGGCGGUGCCUCAAACCCACCUAGAGGAGCCUGUUCUAUAAUCGAUAACCCACGCUACACCCAACCGCCCCUUGCUUGCUCAGCCUACAUACCGCCGUCGCCAGUCCACCUAUCCUGAAAGGACAAUAGUGAACACAAUAGCCCCAACCGCGCUAAAAAGACAGGUCAAGGUAUAGCCCAUGGAGCGGGAGAAAUGGGCUACAUUUUCUACCAUAGAGAAUUACGAAAGGGGACAUGAAACUCUCCCCAGAAGGCGGAUUUAGCAGUAAAGUUGAACCACAAUGCCACCUUAAAACCGGCCCCGGGGCACGUACAUACCGCCCGUCACCCUCCUCGUAAGCUACCAUCAUAAGUAACUCACACCAAUCUUUAGCCAAAGACGAGGC